rnacentral:rRNA from 1 species
CCUGGCUCAGAUUGAACGCUGGCGGCAGGCCUAACACAUGCAAGUCGAGCGGUAGCACAGAGAGCUUGCUCUCGGGUGACGAGCGGCGGACGGGUGAGUAAUGUCUGGGAAACUGCCUGAUGGAGGGGGAUAACUACUGGAAACGGUAGCUAAUACCGCAUAACGUCGCAAGACCAAAGUGGGGGACCUUCGGGCCUCAUGCCAUCAGAUGUGCCCAGAUGGGAUUAGCUAGUAGGUGGGGUAACGGCUCACCUAGGCGACGAUCCCUAGCUGGUCUGAGAGGAUGACCAGCCACACUGGAACUGAGACACGGUCCAGACUCCUACGGGAGGCAGCAGUGGGGAAUAUUGCACAAUGGGCGCAAGCCUGAUGCAGCCAUGCCGCGUGUGUGAAGAAGGCCUUCGGGUUGUAAAGCACUUUCAGCGGGGAGGAAGGCGGUGAGGUUAAUAACCUCAUCGAUUGACGUUACCCGCAGAAGAAGCACCGGCUAACUCCGUGCCAGCAGCCGCGGUAAUACGGAGGGUGCAAGCGUUAAUCGGAAUUACUGGGCGUAAAGCGCACGCAGGCGGUCUGUCAAGUCGGAUGUGAAAUCCCCGGGCUCAACCUGGGAACUGCAUUCGAAACUGGCAGGCUAGAGUCUUGUAGAGGGGGGUAGAAUUCCAGGUGUAGCGGUGAAAUGCGUAGAGAUCUGGAGGAAUACCGGUGGCGAAGGCGGCCCCCUGGACAAAGACUGACGCUCAGGUGCGAAAGCGUGGGGAGCAAACAGGAUUAGAUACCCUGGUAGUCCACGCCGUAAACGAUGUCGAUUUGGAGGUUGUGCCCUUGAGGCGUGGCUUCCGGAGCUAACGCGUUAAAUCGACCGCCUGGGGAGUACGGCCGCAAGGUUAAAACUCAAAUGAAUUGACGGGGGCCCGCACAAGCGGUGGAGCAUGUGGUUUAAUUCGAUGCAACGCGAAGAACCUUACCUGGUCUUGACAUCCACAGAACUUUCCAGAGAUGGAUUGGUGCCUUCGGGAACUGUGAGACAGGUGCUGCAUGGCUGUCGUCAGCUCGUGUUGUGAAAUGUUGGGUUAAGUCCCGCAACGAGCGCAACCCUUAUCCUUUGUUGCCAGCGGUUAGGCCGGGAACUCAAAGGAGACUGCCAGUGAUAAACUGGAGGAAGGUGGGGAUGACGUCAAGUCAUCAUGGCCCUUACGACCAGGGCUACACACGUGCUACAAUGGCAUAUACAAAGAGAAGCGACCUCGCGAGAGCAAGCGGACCUCAUAAAGUAUGUCGUAGUCCGGAUUGGAGUCUGCAACUCGACUCCAUGAAGUCGGAAUCGCUAGUAAUCGUAGAUCAGAAUGCUACGGUGAAUACGUUCCCGGGCCUUGUACACACCGCCCGUCACACCAUGGGAGUGGGUUGCAAAAGAAGUAGGUAGCUUAAC